AGUGAACGCUGGCGGUAGGCCUAACACAUGCAAGUCGAACGGCAGCACAGUGAGAGCUUGCUCUUACGGGUGGCGAGUGGCGGACGGGUGAGGAAUACAUCGGAAUCUACUUUUUCGUGGGGGAUAACGUAGGGAAACUUACGCUAAUACCGCAUACGACCUACGGGUGAAAGCAGGGGAUCUUCGGACCUUGCGCGAUUGAAUGAGCCGAUGUCGGAUUAGCUAGUUGGCGGGGUAAAGGCCCACCAAGGCGACGAUCCGUAGCCGGUCUGAGAGGAUGAUCAGCCACACUGGAACUGAGACACGGUCCAGACUCCUACGGGAGGCAGCAGUGGGGAAUAUUGGACAAUGGGCGCAAGCCUGAUCCAGCCAUACCGCGUGGGUGAAGAAGGCCUUCGGGUUGUAAAGCCCUUUUGUUGGGAAAGAAAAGCAGCAGGUUAAUACCCCGCUGUUCUGACGGUACCCAAAGAAUAAGCACCGGCUAACUUCGUG
rnacentral:rRNA from 1 species